rnacentral:rRNA from 1 species
AUCUGCCUAUUAAUGGGGGACAACAUCUCGAAAGGGAUGCUAAUACCGCAUACGCCCUACGGGGGAAAGCAGGGGAUCACUUGUGACCUUGCGUUAAUAGAUGAGCCUAAGUCGGAUUAGCUAGUUGGUGGGGUAAAGGCCUACCAAGGCGACGAUCUGUAGCGGGUCUGAGAGGAUGAUCCGCCACACUGGGACUGAGACACGGCCCAGACUCCUACGGGAGGCAGCAGUGGGGAAUAUUGGACAAUGGGGGGAACCCUGAUCCAGCCAUGCCGCGUGUGUGAAGAAGGCCUUAUGGUUGUAAAGCACUUUAAGCGAGGAGGAGGAGCUCUAGGCUAAUAUCCUAGAAGCUUGGACGUUACUCGCAGAAUAAGCACCGGCUAACUCUGUGCCAGCAGCCGCGGUAAUACAGAGGGUGCGAGCGUUAAUCGGAUUUACUGGGCGUAAAGCGUACGUAGGCGGCUUAUUAAGUCGGAUGUGAAAUCCCUGAGCUUAACUUAGGAAUUGCAUUCGAUACUGGUGAGCUAGAGUAUGGGAGAGGAUGGUAGAAUUCCAGGUGUAGCGGUGAAAUGCGUAGAGAUCUGGAGGAAUACCGAUGGCGAAGGCAGCCAUCUGGCCUAAUACUGACGC